ACUCUUUCCAGUACAGUAAAUACAAAAUAAAGGUGGACUUGGGAAUACUAGGAGAGAACCUUGUGGAGUUCAAUAAGCUUGAGAAAUACACAGAGGUCUAUGAAACAGCUGAAAGAACAGGACCUGCAAGGAACUAAAAACACACAAACGUUUUGCUUAAAGGCAACUGUAAUUUUCAUUUCCUCAUUAUGGACAGAUCAAGGGGACUGCACAAUCCUUUUGAAUGCUGUGCAAGGGACAACGGAAGGUCAGAGUGCAAAGAACAGGGGUCCUCAUACCUCCCUGCAAGCAAAUUCUUCUCAGUUAUCCCAGCCUUACUGUAUCAUGGAACACAUAACCUUCUCCCUUUCAGGAUACAAGCAGCACGACCAAAGCAACAAUUAGCUCCUGUCAUUUUUGAAAUGAGAGUUCAGAAAUAUUUGCAAACUCUUCUUCUGAGCGUGGCUUUUUUUUUUUUCUUUUUGGUCUUUUUGUUUGUUGGACUUUCAUUUCUGAGGUUAGAUAUUUCUUAUACUUAUUUAUUGCCUUGAAAGAUAUAUUUGAUUAUGAGAAAUUGAGUGAAACCACCCGAGCAGCAGUUUCAUCACUCUUGGAAGUGCAUCAGGGUUGCUGUCUCAGAGGCUGACUUUAACCUAGCCAAGUAUCUACGGAUGAACGCAGAGCCAGAUUUAUUUGUGCAUGUAUUUAUUUAAGUGCUCUAAUGGUGUUGCUUUGUUUGGGGACAACCAAACCUUGGUUCGUAGAGAAUAGCAACUGCAGACUUAGUGGCUUGCUGCAUACCCUUUACACACACUGCUGACUUGUGGAAAGAGAGCAGAUCGAUUUCCCUCCGAGCUGGCUGGAAGGUGCGGGCAGGAACACGUUCCUACCAGCUCGCUGGCCCCAGCCCGCGUGAGCCCACUUGCACGGCGAGACGCGGAGCAGCGGCCAUUUUGCUGUACGGUCCGGUACUCUGCGGUGCGGCGCGGCUCCCCGGGC
ensembl:lncRNA